rnacentral:rRNA from 1 species
UACGGGGGGGGUAAGCGUUGUUCGGAAUUACUGGGCGUAAAGGGCUCGUAGGCGGCCAACUAAGUCAGACGUGAAAUCCCUCAGCUUAACUGGGGAACUGCGUCUGAUACUGGAUGGCUUGGAUUCGGGAGAGGAAUGCGGAAUUCCAGGUGUAGCGGUGAAAUGCGUAGAUAUCGUAAGGAAGACCAGUGGCGAAGGCGGGUCUCUGGACAGUUCCUGACGC